rnacentral:rRNA from 1 species
AUGGCCCCUACUAAUGAGCAGGCUCCUCCACCAUCAUUGUCAUUUAGCCCACCAUCAAUAGCUCCUACUACACCUCCACCCUACCAACCUAGUGAUCAAUCCCCUCCACCGCCGUCAUCAUCUAGUCCUCCACCACUAGCUCCAGCCACCCCACAAACUCCUCCAUCUAGUCCCCCUGCUACAUCUCCACCCUACGAGCCUAGCGAUCAACCACCACCGCCACAUUGCCCUAAGCCCGGACGUGGUCCAAAUCCCCAUGGCGGUGAUGGCCAUAGUAAUAAUGGUCGUGGACCACCAGAAAAGGAUUGCAGUGAAGCAGAGACAUCACCGCCAUCACCUGAGCCAUCCCCAAACCAAGGUAAUGGUUCGCCAUCACCACCGCCACCCCAAUCUUAUUAUCCACCCAUGGCUCCACCUCCAUUAGAUUCUAGUCCUCCUACACCACCACCACCAUACCAAACUAGUGAUCAAUCCCCUCCACCCCCAUCAUCCUCUAGCCCCCCACCACUAGCUCCAGCCACCCCACAAACAUCUCCAUCUAGUCCCCCUGUUACACCUCCAACAUACGAACCUAACUAUCAACCGCCACCGCUUCCAUUGAAUCCUCCAUCCAUUAGCCCACCACCUCCGUCUAGCCCACCUACAACACCUCCAAUGGCCCCGACUAAUGAGCAACCUCCUCCACCAUCAUCGUCAUCUAGCCCCCCACCAGUAGCUCCUACUACACCACCACCGUACCAAACUAGUGAUCAAUCCCCUCCACCACCAGCAUCAUAUAGUCCCCCACCACUAGCUCCAGCCACCCCACAAACACCUCCAUAUAGUUCCCCUGUUACACCUCCAAGUUAUGAACCUAACUAUCAACCGCCACCGCCUCCACUGAAUCCUCCAUCCGUUCCAACACCACCUCCAUCCAGCCUUCCUGCAACACCUCCAAUGUCCCCGGCUAAUGAGCAGCCUCCUCCACCAUCGCCAUCAUCACCAUUAAGUCCACCUGCCACACCUCCAACGUACCAAGCUAACCAACCACCGCCGUCGGCACUGACACCACCACCACCUAGUCCUUCAGCAACAACGUCACCACCUGGUCCCCCUACCGGUACUAAUGGAUGGGUGCAAGUUCAUAACUUCCGUGACACUUUGUACUGGCAAAUCGCGCGCUUUGCGGUAUUAAUGCACAAGUUGGUAUACAAGAAGGAGAUGACCCUUGUCGAUGUGUUGUAUGUGAGCAUGCAGCCUUCGGGAAUUGGCAACAACUACUUUCUUGAGAUAAAAGCUGCGGAUGAAAACAAUAAGGUCGGCAGGUAUCAAGUGCUCGUAUGGGGUGUGCCUGGGUCAACAGCUCAACCAUGGAAAGUACUGUCAUUUAAAUUUAUAGGAUACUAA